CCUACGGGGGGCAGCAGUGAGGAAUAUUGGUCAAUGGACGCAAGUCUGAACCAGCCAUGCCGCGUGCAGGAAGACGGCUCUAUGAGUUGUAAACUGCUUUUGUACGAGGGUAAACGCAGAUACGCGUAUCUGUCUGAAAGUAUCUUACGAAUAAGGCUCGGCUAACUCUGUGCCAGCAGCCGCGGUAAUACGGAGGAUUCAAGCGUUAUCCGGAUUUAUUGGGUGUAAAGGGUGCGUAGGCGGUCGGAUAAGUUAGAGGUGAAAUCCCGAGGCUCAACUUCGGAAUUGCGUCUGCUACUGUUAGGCUAGAGUGUAGUUGCGGUAGGCGGAAUGUAUGGUGUAGCGGUGAAAUGCGUAGAGAUCAUACAGAACACCGAUUGCGAAGGCAGCUUACCAAGCUACUUCUGACGUUGAGGCACGAAAGCGUGGGGAGCAAACAGGAUUAGAUACCCUAGUAGUC
rnacentral:rRNA from 1 species